rnacentral:rRNA from 1 species
GAACGCUAGCUACAGGCUUUAACACAUGCAAGUCGAGGGGCAUCAGGACAAGCUUGCUUUGUUUGCUGGCGACCGGCGCACGGGUGAGUAACGCGUAUCCGACCUACCCAUAACUCGGGCACAGCCGCUCGAAAGAGCGAUUGAUUCCCGAUAUGGUCCUUGGAGUAGAUUCAAUGAUGAAAGAUUUAUCGGUUAUGGAUGGGGAUGCGUAAGAUUAGGUAGUAGGCGGGGUAACGGCCCACCUAGUCUACGAUGUCUAGGGGUUCUGAGAGGAAGGUCCCCCACACUGGAACUGAGACACGGUCCAGACUCCUACGGGAGGCAGCAGUGAGGAAUAUUGGUCAAUGGUCGAGAGACUGAACCAGCCAUGCCGCGUGAAGGUCACGGCCCUAUGGGUCUUAAACUUCUUUUGUAAGGGAGCAAUAAGUCUCACGUGUGGGAUGAUGAGAGUACCUUACGAAUAAGCAUCGGCUAACUCCGUG